rnacentral:piRNA from 1 species
UAACAUGUUCAGUAAAAGGUG